GUAUACGGCAAGAAGGUACCGUCUUGAAGCAGAGAGAGAGAGAGAUGCCCUCCCCAGACAGUGAACCUGCUGGUGCCUUGACCUUGGACUUCCUAGCCUCCAAAACUACAUUCCCAAACCUGAUGAAUAUGCAUGGCUAUUCAUGGAGACAGACCAUUGAAGGCUUAAAUGACAAUGUAUUCUUCCUUUCUACAAAAUCUCAUGGGCAUUUGUUAACACCUGAAUACAUCUGACAGAAACGUGCUAAAACGGAUCAAUUUGUAUCUAUUUGAAAAAGUUCUCACUAAUUAAGAUUGUUGUAUUUUCAUGAAAUAUUAGGUAAACACUACAACUCACACUCUUAUUCUCUCUGGUAAUAAUAUGAUAUUUUGAAAAUAUAAUUAAAUUUAGUUAUCUUGAAAA